UUACGGCCACAUCACGUUGAAACGCCGAUUCCCGUACGAUCACCGAAGUUAAGCUACGUCGAGUCUGGUCAGUACCUAGAUGGGUGACCGCUUGAGAGUAUCAGGUACUGUAAG